rnacentral:lncRNA from 1 species
CCAAGAAGAACUUUAUUCCAAGGAAUGGAGCAUAGAGACUUAAAUAGAAAUAAGCACAAAAACCCAAAAAUCAAAAAGUAAAAACAACCCGUGUGGACUUCCCAUUGUGGCUCAGUGGGUUAAGACCCUGACACAGUAUCCGUGAGGAUGUGGGUUCCAUUCCUGGCCUCCCUCAGGGGGUUAAGGAGCCACCCUUGCCGCAAGCUUUGGCAUGGGUCUUCAGGUCCUGCCUGAGCAGGGCUCCUGCGAGCUGAGCUCUGAGCCCACAGGCUGUCCUGCCUGGGGCCUGAGAAGAGUGCCUUUACCCACCUGGGGCUGUGGACACCUGUUGUCCUGGGCCACACCGCACCAGCGUGGCCUGUGGAGGCUUCAGGGCAGCUGCAUGGUCAGUCAGCCGUCGUGGUGACGAGCCAUGCCGCGGGACUGGCCCCCAGCAGGACCCUGCGCACCUCGGUUCACGGGAGCCUCUCUGGCUGGCACUUUUCCGUGCGUGUGUCACUCAAGGUUGCUGGGACAAGUGAGGGCUGGACGUCCUCAGGCUCCCCUGGGACAGGACAGCUGGGAGCUGCCGCCCUGGCUGCUGGACCCUGCCCCACCAGCCUUGACACUGGCCGGUAGACUCCUUAGCUCCAAUCAACCCUAACUCUGAAUCCUUGCUGGAUCCCGUGCGAUCUUCCAAACAAGUCUUGGGGAGCACAACGUGGGGACGUAUGCCCUCUGCUGGCAGAGAGCAUCUGGACUGGGGUGGGGCAGCCUCACACUAAGCUCUGGGGUUAGGGUUAGGGUUAGGGGGUAGGGGGUAGGUGUAGGGUUGGGAGUACAGGGUAGGGGUAGGGUUAGGGUUAGGGUUAGUGUUAGGGGUAGGGGUUAGGGGUAGGGUUGGGAUUGGGCCCAUUUCUUUUCCUCCGGGCUGUAGGUGUUGCCCCCUCUGUGAGGGCGAGCUUUCCUUCCUGCACUCCCGUAGGUUCCGCGGCCACUCCGGUGUGUUAGAGGCAGCAGUGCCUGGGGCAGCUUCAGCGUUUGCAGGGCUGGCGGCAGUUCCAGGCUCUGCCAUGGUGCUUUUCAGGGCGUUCAGCAGCGGGGUGGCGGUAACCAACCGAGACUCCUUCGAAGGCAGCACAUUCCUCCAUUCCAUCCAAACCCUGCCACGUGGCCUGAGGAGCUUCCUGGGCAGCGAGGUGUCGGUGGGGCCUUGAUGUCCCCCUUUGACCCGUCGGGUUUGGGGGCUGAAGAGAUCUUAGGACUCUCAGGGGAACGCCUGAAGGUGGCCGCGCACUUCCAGCCUCGUGGGUUCUCCAGCCCCAAGGCUAAGCCGGGCCGCUCGGAAUGGCUGGCUGUGGAUGGGUCGGUCGGUGCCUCAGACAACCGCAGGGAGGGUGCUUCCUCCGGGACAGACUGGUGGUGGAGAAACGGAUCUGAAGGCGUUGGACGUGGAUGCCCUGCUGGGGUCCAUUACCCGGAAACCACACCAGAUGCACUUUUGGCCACGUUGGACGACACGUGUGAUGUCUUUGAGCCCCCACUCCAGGACCCCCCCCGCCGACGGUGAACCUCCCUGGGCCAUCUCCCGGAAGGGUUACCAGCACCUGACCCGGCUGCCCCUUCAUGUUCUUGCACACUCUCCCCUUCCCCCAGGGGCGCUGUCUUCCACUCCAGAGAAUUCCUUUUAUGGAGCAGAACAAGCUAUAGCAGCCACUCGGUGCCGCCGGAAGAAGAGGGCAGAGCAGGAGGCCCGCACUGGUGAGCCGCGCGAAAAGCUAGGAAAGAAGGAGGCCCCGAGAGAGAAGGCAGAGUCCUUGGCCAAGGUGAUUCAGGAUCUGAAAGAGCUGAUGCAAGGGGUCCCCUGGGCGCAGCGGGAGAGAAGCGCCCCUUGGCCGCCUUGCACAGGGCUGUGCGGGUGCUUGUCCAUAGGCUAGGGCUUUAGCUGUGUGCUGUAAUACAUUAUUUUGCAGUGAAUGCCAAAAAAAAAAAAAAAAAAAAAUGUGGCUCAGCUCCUGCAAGGCAGGUGGGUGGGUGGGAGACCCCAGACCGCGAGGGGCUCCUGGACACCCUGAGCACUCAGUACAAGCAGACACACAGAGCCCCUUCUGCAGGGCCGGGUGGGGCUGGGGGACGCUGGAGGGGAGAUGCUGCCCCGGGGUGGGAUCUGUCCCAGGACCCCCGGGGAAGGGCAGGGCUUGCAGCGGAGGCCCCAGACCUACGUUCGUAAGGGUGGCAGGGCUCCGGGCUUGAGGGCACCAGGCUCUGCUUGGAAACCGAAGUGCUCGCGCUGUCCCCUUCAGGUGGAAAAGGACAAGAAACGUUUCCUGAUUGCCCAGGUGGAUGGCCUGUGCCCUGUCGCGGGAGGACUUCUCGGCUCCGCAAGUCGCACCUCAAGUCAUCUCAGAGUCGACCCCUAGAGGCAGGCGCUAUGAAGACCCCGAGUGCAUGCGGGUCACGUGACCUGCCCCGCAUCCCAGCUGGGUGGUGCUGGGCCUGGACCCCACGUCAGACCGGCUCCCUGGAGAGCUGGGCUCCUCACCGGAGACACCAGCCUGCCCAGAAGACAGCCCCACCCUGGAGACCCCGAACUCCACCCCGAAGACGUGCCCACCCGCCUGGGGACAGGCAAGGCCACGAGCAAGCUGUCCCCACCUGUGGUCUGGCAGUGACCCAGGUCUCACUCCCUCUCCUGGGGCUGAACCCGCCACAAAGCGUGGGAUUUCCCGUGGCAGGUCCUGUGUAACGAAAGCAUCAACGACAGCAGAGACGCAUCUGGGCCGUGGGGACAGAGGACUCGGGACAAGAGCCAUCCCAUCCAGCUGGGGUGUGCCAAGGAGCCGGGCCCGAACAGACUGAGCUCUGCUGAGCUGCUCAGGGGGCCCUUCGGGGGGUCCGGGCCCUGCUCCCCCCACAGAGAAGCAGCUCAGGAGGGGGAGGGGCUGCUGGGAGGGGGCGAGGGAGCCGCAGCAAGGUGGGCCACCGAAGGGGCAUCUUUGGGGAUGUGACAGUAUCUGGGGGCAGGGAGGGGUGGCGGGGGCAGAGUGGACCGGCGUCGGCAGAGAAGGCCCUGAGAACAUCCUGGAAGAGAAAGAAGGGACCCGCAGCACACGUCCAGCCCUCGUGAGUCUUCAUACGUGGGCUCCCAGGGCAGCGGGAGGACAUCGGGACACUGCUGGGGCUGAGACGAUGGGGCCCAGUUCCCCUGACAGCCUGACCCUGCUCCUGCCCUGUAGGGCUCUGCUCUGGCCGAGACGCCGUGCGGACGCUGCGCCCCCAGCCGUCUUCCAACAAGAGCCCUCGCUGCUUGUAAGUCCCUCCCUUCUCUCAGCUUUUACCUAAGAAAUCAGUAAACUGCUUCCCAAAUACCAGAGGAAUCGCAGGCAGAACCUCUCUGGGUGGCUGUUGUCCUCAGCGUCAGUGACGUUUGUCCACUGACUGACUGAUGGGCCGCACCUGGGGCAUGGGGACGUUCCCGGGCCAGGGGUGGAACCCUCGCCACAGUGUGAUAACACCAGGCUCUGAACCCCCUGUGCCACCAGGGAGCUCCAACCUCAGGAACAGUUAGACCCUUCCAUAGCAAAGCAGUGCGUUUGCUCACUUCACUCCCCUUCUCGGGUUAUUUUCAGCUGUCCCAGUGAUGCCAGGGCAGAGGCAGAGCAGGGCAUCCGAGACGCAUCUACUCCCGCAGACGUGGGUUCUGGCUGAAGCCGUGUGAUGGAACCACUUUGGACACGAGACAGGACUUCAAGUCUCCAGCUCCCAGGGGAGGCUCCGCACAUCAAUCUCAGGGAACGGGGGUCAAGCCCCACGCUUAGCACCCUAGCGGCGGCCCCUCCCCAGCUCCCAGGAGCACUUGACAGGCCUCGCCCACAGGGCUGGCGAGAGGUUCCGGCUGUGCAGGGGGUUGCUUCACUGCCCAGAAAGACACCCCAAGAAGACGGGACCAUCCGUCUUCUCUCUAACAAGUGACCAGACCAAGGAGUAAUCAAAUCACUACCCACAAACAAGAGCUGGGGCCCGGGGGCUGUGCCGCCGAAUUCCACCUGAAAUACCAUAAAGAAAUCACCAAAUUCCUCACCAAGUCCUCCAGGAACAGAAGAGCUGGGAACACGUCCCCAUUUAUUCGACGAGGCCAGCAUCGCUCUGACACCCACAGACAGAACCAAAAAUUGCAGGCCAGGAGUUCCCACCAUGGUACUGCGACUCUAGGAUGGGGUUUUGUCUCUGCUGCGGCUCAGGUGGCUGCGGAGACACGGCUUCCAUGUGCCGCAAAGGCGACCAAUUAAAAAAAAGAAAAAGGCAGUCCACUCUCUUUCUCUGUCUCUCUUUUGUUACUUUCUGGAGCACAUGGAGGUUCCCAGGCUACAGGCUGAAUCAGAGCUGUAGCCACUGGCCUACAACACAGGCACAACCAUGCCAGAUCCGAGCCGCGCCUGCGACCCACACCACAUCUCACGGCAACGCCGGAUCCUGAACCCACUCAGCGAGGUCACGGAUGGGACAUGCGUCCUCACGUGUACGAGUCAGAUUCGUCUCCCCUGGGCCACGGCAGGAACUCCCAACAACUCCUUUAAUAUGGACACCAAAAUCCUCCAGGGGUUCGUCGGCCAACCCUCCUUAGCCAAACGCCCGCGGUGCCGAGAGCAGCUCAGCAGGAUGGGGCUGAAGAACGGGCGCUGUGACACUUAAGGAAGAACGUGAACACAAACCAAGACACGGAGACAUUGAGUAAAGGCGGGAACCGGGGGACCCAAGGUCUCAGGGACCAAGAGCCCCCCUCAAGAAACCCCACUGCUCUUAUUGUGCUGUUGAGGAUGAGGGCGAGUGAGGCGGGGGCUAUGGGUGCAGGAUAUGGGGUUUGUUUAUUAUUGCAUAAGUUCUUUUAUUAUUGUAAAAGUCACUUGGCUGGUAGAAGGUUAAGCUUUUACUCUGACCUUUAGGCACAUAACUAUCAUUAGCAUUGGAGUUAGAGACCUAUGCAGAGCAUUCCAGAGACUCCUCCCUGUGCUUCCGCAAAGGGCACGCCUAUUUGCGGCAACCGGGCAUGCCUAAGUUGGCACCUUGGUUCUCUUUGCUGAUGCAGAGUCUGCUAAGGACCGCUCCUAAACCACCUGGCCAGGAGAUUCCUCUUUCUCUUAUCCCUUAGAGGCUGUAUCAUGCUUGUGCAAACGGCGUGCCCAUCUGCACAGGUCCGACGUGCCUGGACCAACGCAUUACGUCCUCAUUCAGCUGACCCUACGGAUAACUCAUGCCUUUAGGUCUUUGUUCUUAAGCUUAAGUCAUUCACCGGCACUGCGACUGCUUUUCAAGCAGGAAGAUGGGGUAAAGUAAAGCAGGACAAGAUGGAGUUUUCAGCAAAGUG